CAGGGCGAGUUGAAGAUGAAGGAUGGGACCAAGACAAAUGGAGUCCUGAGAAAUUACUGGAUAAUGUAGGGAAACUAACAAGUCAGCUUUGCACAACCUCCUCUGAGGAAGGAGGAUGGAGACUAAAUUAAGUUGAACCAGAAAUAAUGAGAUUGGAGAAAAGUCACCAGAAACACACUUUCUUCUAUUUGGGCAUGAAAUGAAGUUUGAUGGAUUCUAACUCUGAAAGGAA
rnacentral:lncRNA from 1 species